rnacentral:tRNA from 1 species
UCCCUGGUGGCUCAGUUGGUAAAGAAUCUGCCUGCAAUGCAGGAGACUCGGGUUUGAUCCCUGGGUUGGGAA